rnacentral:rRNA from 1 species
UGUCGUAACAAGGUUUCCGUAGGUGAACCUGCGGAAGGAUCAUUAACGCUCAUCCAAACCUACUCAACCAAGCCUAUUCGACGAAGCAAUUCGUCUGAAAACCUAACCAAAAGCAAAUAACUAAGCUUAAACCAAAAACAAAUCCUCAACGAUGGAUAUCUUGGUUCCUACAACGAUGAAGAACGCAGCGAAGUGCGAAAAGCAUUGCGAAUUGCAGAACCGUGAGUCAUCAGAUUUUUGAACGCAACUGGCUCUGAAGGGUCCUCCCUUCAGAAUGCUUCUUUCAGUGUGUGCUUAUCUCCUAACCCAAAGCAUAAUGCGACAGAUGCCCUUCUGUUGCUAAGCUUGGAAGCACUCUACGCUUUGCAGUGGCCCUCGGGUCACACUCAAUGCAGCAGUCACGCUCUCAAGUGUGAACUACAUUGAGCGCAGAGGUAGCGCGGCUUGCCGCCAGUGCUUGGACAACCAAAUUUUCUCAGCAUCUGAAAUGAAGUAGGACCACCCGCUGAACUUAAGCAUAUCAUUAAGCGGAGGAAAAGAAACUAACAAGGAUUCCCUCAGUACGGGCGACGGAAGCGGGAAGAGCCCAGACUGGUAAACGCCGGCCUUCGGUCGGCGAGUUGUAGUCUGAAGGAGGUCAGCCUAACGAGCGGAGGCGCAUAAGUGUCCACGAGAGGACCGCCAUAGAGGGUGAGAGCCCCGUAUGUGGUGCCACCGCUCACCGGGCAGGCAGCCAAAGAGUCGUGUACCUUGAUACUGGUGCACUAAGCGGGAGAUAAACUUCUUCUAAGGCUAAAUAAAUGUAGGAAACCGAUAGCGAACAAGUACUGUGAAGGAAAGAUGAAAAGCACUUUGAAAAGAAGGUUAAAAGACUUGAAAUCGUCGAGGCGGAAGCGGUAGAAAUGAAUUCUACGAACGUUCCCGGCGAAGCCUGCUCCGGCGGGCGAGUUGGGGGCGCAGUGAGGCAAGAUGGGGUCGAACGAUGUCAGAGGCGGGUUCGAGCAGGGGCUUCGGCACCACUCGAGCCAAAGCCGGGCAUCGAUCGGCCUGAGGGGCCUUGAGCGAUCUUGCCAAAAUGGUUUUUACCGACCCGUCUUGAAACACGGACCAAGGAGUCUAAGACUAACGCGAGUAUGGUGGUGGAAAAACCAACAUGCGCAAUGAAAGUAAAUGAUGCCAAGGAAACAGCAGCAUCGACCGACCAUGAUCCACUGGUGAAAGGUUUGAGUAAGAGCGUUAUUCUUAGGACCCGAAAGAUGGUGAACUAUGCGUGA